UUAGAGUGCAGAUAGAAAUAUGCUGUAUACUCGUGUAACCGAAUUAAUGUUUAAGUGUCAUUUUAUGGCACAGGCCACGGGGAACGCCGAAAGGCGUUUUUUUAUGUAA
ncrna:unclassified sequences DTF3800-I RNA